AGAGUUUGAUCCUGGCUCAGGAUGAACGCUGGCGGCGUGCCUAAUACAUGCAAGUCGAGCGAACGGACGAGAAGCUUGCUUCUCUGAUGUUAGCGGCGGACGGGUGAGUAACACGUGGAUAACCUACCUAUAAGACUGGGAUAACUUCGGGAAACCGGAGCUAAUACCGGAUAAUAUUUUGAACCGCAUGGUUCAAAAGUGAAAGACGGUCUUGCUGUCACUUAUAGAUGGAUCCGCGCUGCAUUAGCUAGUUGGUAAGGUAACGGCUUACCAAGGCAACGAUGCAUAGCCGACCUGAGAGGGUGAUCGGCCACACUGGAACUGAGACACGGUCCAGACUCCUACGGGAGGCAGCAGUAGGGAAUCUUCCGCAAUGGGCGAAAGCCUGACGGAGCAACGCCGCGUGAGUGAUGAAGGUCUUCGGAUCGUAAAACUCUGUUAUUAGGGAAGAACAUAUGUGUAAGUAACUGUGCACAUCUUGACGGUACCUAAUCAGAAAGCCACGGCUAACUACGUGCCAGCAGCCGCGGUAAUACGUAGGUGGCAAGCGUUAUCCGGAAUUAUUGGGCGUAAAGCGCGCGUAGGCGGUUUUUUAAGUCUGAUGUGAAAGCCCACGGCUCAACCGUGGAGGGUCAUUGGAAACUGGAAAACUUGAGUGCAGAAGAGGAAAGUGGAAUUCCAUGUGUAGCGGUGAAAUGCGCAGAGAUAUGGAGGAACACCAGUGGCGAAGGCGACUUUCUGGUCUGUAACUGACGCUGAUGUGCGAAAGCGUGGGGAUCAAACAGGAUUAGAUACCCUGGUAGUCCACGCCGUAAACGAU
rnacentral:rRNA from 7 species